GUUACAUUAGCAAGUAGUUUUUGUUAAGUAGGGUUAGGGAGAGGUGAGUUUUGUGACACCUCACUGAAUAUUAGUGUUACUGAAUAUUUCUCCCAAUAGAAAUUCCCCAAAAUUAUGGCAAAGCACAUUUUUUCCAAACAAAAAAAUUGUAGAAUAACCAUCAGGAGACCACUGAUGUGUGGAGUGAUUUUGGUGACACUACACUCUGAAUAAAAGUGAAGUUAUUGAAUUUUUUGUAGUUUCUCUUUUCAAUGCUGCACUUUGUAGACGGUCCCUGCGCCCUCGUCUCAGACGGCUGACCAUACAGACCAGAGUUAAUGUCCAGCCGCUCGUUUUGAUGAAAAUAUGGUUGUAGCUCGUCGUCUAUCGUAGUACGGAAACCUCCACACAGGCACUAUCUGCUUUGCCCAGUGUGUCUUAAAACACAAGAAAGUCUGUCAUGCCAUCUGCUCAGAGUCUGCAAGAAAACCUCCAGCCGAGCAGAUAUUGAAGCCCUGGUUGAAAAGGCCAAGAAAGAUGUUUUGGACCUGCUUCAGAAUGGCAGGGCCUUUAGUUAUGCAGUCCUUACACAAAUUAUGGCUGAUACGAAUCCACUCAAGAGGUUGGUGGCUUUUUGUUUACUCUUUACUCUGUCUUAUUCCCUUAUGUGUAGAUAUUCUAAAAUGUCUUGUUUUCCUCAUUGAAAGCUUGAUUGAGGAGUUAAACCGUCACCACUUGAUCGUCACCGGAUCCCCGCCCCCUCUGCCCACUGAAGCUGGCCCAUCCACCACACAGCCACCAGAGACUGGAGACCAGGGAGAGCCGUCGGGAGAGUGUGAGCCGUCUGACGCUGCAUCUGUCAGCAGUGGCGAGUUAUUUCAAUGUGACCAAGAUGUAAAUUACUCCAACAAGGUCAGGCAGAAAAUGUCAGAGAAGGGCCUGUAUAACAAGCACGACGUGAGCGAUCCACUGCUGAAUGACUUUGCCAAAUACUUGCAGACAGAGCUCCUCAAAGUUUCAAACAGGAGGUUGAAAAUGUUGCACAGUACCUCCAUUAUGCAGACUCAAAGGCACCAUCCCUUCAGUUUGUCAAUGACAGAGAGAAGCUCCAAGAGUACCUGCAUGCCCUCUCUGAGGCAAAAUUGA
rnacentral:lncRNA from 1 species